GCUCUUAAGUGAUGGAGAUAACACGACGAAUGUCAGUUUAUUGGAUCUAAACGCCACUAUAGAAGCACAGAACAUGCGAAUAAUUGUUCGUGAAAGAGAUCAAUUAAUUCGAAGCCUAGAGAGAGAAAACAUGUUUCUCAGAGAACAAGUGAACUCUCUCAACUUGAUGCUGGAUCAGCUAACGGCUUCCACAAAAAGUUUGGCAGCCGCAAAAAAUGAUAUUAGAAUAAAAGUUGAAAAUUCUACAGGAGUUUCCAUGAAGAAGUGGUACACACGACCCAAAGUUGUACUAACGGGUAGUGCUAUCGCUAUUGUAUUGUCUUUAUAUUUGAAAUAUAAAAUUAGAAAUUGGUAAAAA